rnacentral:lncRNA from 1 species
UGUUUCACAUAUGGGGAAGCUGAGGCACAUAGAGGGGAAGUGACUUACUCAAGGCCAUGCAGUGGUAGAGUCACGAUCAGAACCCCAGAUGUUCCUGGUUCCUAAUACCAUGCACAGGUCACUAGACCAUACCGUAGUUCUCACUGCAAAUUGGAUACUGGCGGCCACAAGCCUGGUGGGAUAUUCAUUGCAGCGCACGGAACAGGGGUGCUGUCUCUGUGAUCACAGCCACUCCCAGCAGCAGUGA